rnacentral:rRNA from 1 species
UACGGGGGGUGCAAGCGUUGUCCGGAUUUACUGGGCGUAAAGAGCGCGCAGGCGGUCGAUUUAGUCGCGUGUGAAAGCCCCCGGCUCAACUGGGGAGGGUCACGCGAUACUGAUCGACUCGAAGGCAGGAGAGGGAAGUGGAAUUCCCGGUGUAGUGGUGAAAUGCGUAGAUAUCGGGAGGAACACCAGUGGCGAAGGCGACUUCCUGGCCUGUUCUUGACGCUGAGGCGCGAAAGCUAGGGGAGCAAACGGG